rnacentral:rRNA from 1 species
UACGGUGGCUAUAGCGAAGGGGCAACACCUGUUCCCAUCCCGAACACAGAAGUUAAGCCCUUCAGCGCCGAUGGUACUUUACGGGCAACUGUAUGGGAGAGUAGGACGCCGCCGUAU